AUUGAACGCUGCGGCAGGCUUAACACAUGCAAGUCGAGCGCGCGGCGGACGCGUGCGUAAUGCUUAGGUCUCUGCCUAUUAGUGGUGGACAACAUCUAGAAAGGGAUGCUAAUACCGCAUACUCUUAGCAUAGCCUAAGUCGGAUUAGCGAGUUGGUGGGGUAAAGGGCUAACAAGGCGACGAUCUGUAGCGGGUCUGAGAGGAUGAUCCGCCAAAAUGGGACCGAGGCCACGCCCAGAAUGCUACGGGAGGCAGCAGUUGGGAAUAAUUGACAAAUGGGGGAACCCUGAUCCAGCCAUGCCGCGUGGGUGAAGAAGGCCUUAUGGUUGGAAAGCACUUUACGGGAGGAGGCGUUACUCGCAGAAUAAGCACCGGCUAACUCCGUGCCAGCAGCCGCGGUAAUUC
rnacentral:rRNA from 1 species